rnacentral:rRNA from 1 species
AUGCUUGGAUAUAAAAAGGAUUCGCACUCCUAUAGAGUCUUCAAUCUCUUUCAUUAUAAAGUGGUUGAAACAGUGGAUGUGCGGUUUGAUAAGACUAACGGUUCACAAAGAGAGCACCUCCCAAAUGUGCUAGAUGAAGUUCCAUCCAGCGAAUCAAUCAAGUUUAUGGGAACCGGAAAAAUUAUACCCUCUGAAGCUCAACCUGAAGAGGAACUUAUCAUCUCCGCACCUGAUCAACCUGAAAACAAUCCCACUAACAAUGACAAUGAUCAGCAAGAGCAAAACCUUCGCCUUCUACAUCCUCGUGUUGCCAAUGAAGUGCAGAUUGAGAGAAUAAUUGACAGCAUUAAUGCACCCGGUCCGCUCACUCGAUCAAGGGCAACUCGGCUAGCAAAUUUCUGUGGGCACUUCGCAUUCGUCUCAAUUACAAAACCCAAGAAAAUUGAAGAAGCCUUCAUGGAACCUGAAUUGAUUCAAGCUAUGCAAGAAGAGCUUCAACAGUUUGAGCUGAAUAAUGUAUGGUAA